rnacentral:lncRNA from 1 species
GGGUACUCAACUGUGCAAGCGUACGUAAAAAACACAGCUUACAUUCCAAUGAACGCCGUUAAUUAACUGUCGCCGUUCCAAUUAAAUUAGCGCAACUCGGCGAAAGCAACGGCUCCUCUCCAGCUGUACGCCGUAAACGGUACGUUUGUAUUCCUCUCUUCCCGAUAAAUAACUAGAUGGUUCGUGCGCUUAACCAUUUAAUCGGAUAUUUUGAGGUUACGAUGAUAACCGUUAACUGCUAUAAAUAGGUAAGGUUAGGUUGGAGGUUUUGUAGUAACCGCAGUAUCGUCAUAACUAUACCCAUAACCAUCCUUGACUCGCUGUAUAUAUAAUAAUCAACAUUUACCCUCUCAAUACAUGAGCACAAUAAGCCCACUGACUAACCCAAAUCUACAUGAAAUCUAUUUAUUCAUCCUUCCUCGAAAAUAUCUAAUAGGCCGCUUUUCGAUUUCGACGAUAUCCCUUUGUUGACUCCUCGUCUUCUACAAAACUCAACCAUUCCGUUGAAAAUACCCCAUCCAUCGCUUUUCAUAUGAAUUAAAGUAAAUAGAGUUUUGUUUUUGUUUUCGUUUGGACUUUUAGUUUUCAUUUUUUAUUUUUGUCAUAACGAAAAGUAAUUAUAAUCAUUAACCGUGUGUGGGUAUGAUGAUAACACUAAUUUUAUCACCAAAAUAAAAAUAGAAUAAUGGGUCGAUCACCGAACUUUCUCAUUGCCGAGCCAACUCAUAAAAGAACAAAGAAGUUAAAAUAUAAGAAUACGUACAGAUCCCAUCUACAAGGGUAGAGAGACGGCGCCGUUCAGAACUCAUCAAGUGGCUAACACAACCGUACGUGAAUAGAAACAAAGUGUUAUCACAAUUUAUUGUAUAAAUAAACAUAUUACAUACACUAUUAUUAUUAUCAUAAUUUAUUGUAUAAAGAAACAUAGAUUAAUAGAAAGGAAAGCAAAAUCUUAAUUAGUAAAGUGGGGAGAUGCUUCUCUGGGCAAAGCGUGGUUGGUCUGCCAUGCAUAUUAAUUAAUUAUGACUACUUAGUCCUAGUGUUCUUAAGCUAGAGUUUAAAAUUUCAUAAUACACAAUGAUUAAUCAACUGCAUCAGAGAGUCCCUCGGAGAACAGGGUCGGGGUCGUAUUGAUUAUUACAACUGCCAGAUAUGAUGAUAUGAUGCUCAGUGGCUCCUCCCAGUGCCAGACUUAGCAGUGGUGAGUGGCUAUGGUGUGGAUCAGAGCAAUUCAUGGUCAUUGGGCCAUCUGCAUGUUUGAUUUACUAGAUUUGACUCCAAAUAUUUAAAAAUAUAUCCACUCAAUCCCAACUAAAUCACUAGCUAGGUAGUAGCUAAUUUGGAAUUAUUGGUGGUGUGGGUUUGUCGUUUGGUAUAGGUGCUGGGGUUAAGUAGAGUGGAAGACAACCGAUCAACUGAGAUUUGUUUUUCCGACGACGGGGACACCUACGUACGAGCCUUCCACCGGCCCACGUCUCACCGACAGACAUCGGAACAACGGUUACCAACUCCAUUUCUGAUAUUGUUAUUAUAUACGGAAUCUUGAUUUCCAAACACUUCCUUCCAAUUUUUUUAUACAACAAUGAUAGCUUGGAUCCUUAGAUCGUCGCCCCUCAAUUAUUGGUCAUUUGCCUCAGGACACCAAGGUAAGUUAUGCUAAUAUUAUUAGUGAUUUGGUUGUAUAUGUAAUAUAUAUUUUUGUGAGAAUAAGCAUAUGUUCGAUUCAUGCGGAGUUACAUCGUAAGAAAAAGGUUGUUGAGCUAAUUUAUGAUCGACAAGAUUCUAAUCCCGCUUAACAAAAACGAUACUAAAAAGUAGGUAUUUGGAGCAAAAAAGCAUGACAUGAAAUGAUAAUUGUCUAACCGAACUCUGUAGAGUAGUUCUUUGUGCAGCUUGUCAUUGUAUUGCUGCUGCAACCUCGGCUGAUUCAACCUCGAAGAUAACGCCUAAAUGGCUGAUAUAAACUACCCAAUUCAUUGCCUCUAGUAACGCCAUGACCUCACACUUUCGAACCUCAAGGAUGCCGGUCGAAUGGAACGCCCCACAUGCGAUGAAAGAGCCCAUGUGGUCCCUCGGAAUCAUGCCACAUCUCCAAACAAUAUUCCAAUGACUUAAGACUGGCAUCUACAUUACGUUUGAGCGAGGGCGAGAAAAGAGGGUGUCACUUAGGGCAACUCCAAACCUUCGUCAAUCCGUGAUUAUCUGCAUACUAUGGACAUCAAGUAAUAAAAUGUUAUGUGUUUAUGUCAAAACUGCAGAAAUUUUUUUUAUUAUUCUAACACUUUCACAAGUUAUGAGAAAUGUCGCUAUUUAUAUGUCGAACCAUAAUAUGUACUUUUUAGCCCUUAGGUAGACUUGAUGGACCGUGGUCUGUGUAAGUGUUAGCCGUGAAAAAUGGGCACUCUCUCAUUUGCGAUGUACUCUUCAAUUAUACGUUCAAUCUCCUUAAAUGAGUGGAAUGAAUUCAAAAG